AUUGAACGCUGGCGGCAUGCCUUACACAUGCAAGUCGAACGGCAGCGGGGACUUCGGUCCGCCGGCGAGUGGCGAACGGGUGAGUAAUGUAUCGGAACGUACCUUUCAGUGGGGGAUAACGUAGCGAAAGUUACGCUAAUACCGCAUAUUCUCUGAGGAGGAAAGCAGGGGACCUUCGGGCCUUGUGCUGAUGGAGCGGCCGAUAUCAGAUUAGCUAGUUGGUGGGGUAAAGGCUCACCAAGGCGACGAUCUGUAGCGGGUCUGAGAGGAUGAUCAGCCACACUGGGACUGAGACACGGCCCAGACUCCUACGGGAGGCAGCAGUGGGGAAUUUUGGACAAUGGGCGCAAGCCUGAUCCAGCCAUGCCGCGUGAGUGAAGAAGGCCUUCGGGUUGUAAAGCUCUUUCGGACGGGAAGAAAUUGGUGGGGCUAAUAUCCCCAUCGGAUGACGGUACCGUAAUAAGAAGCACCGGCUAACUCUGUGCCAGCCGCCGCAGUAACAC
rnacentral:rRNA from 1 species